rnacentral:rRNA from 1 species
UGCCAGCCGCCGCGGUAACACGGGGGGCGCAAGCGUUAUUCGGAAUUAUUGGGCGUAAAGGGCGCGCAGGCGGUCUUGUCCGUCAGGUGUGAAAGCUCGGGGCUCAACCCCGGAAGUGCACUUGAAACAGCAAGACUUGAAUACGGUAGAGGAGAGAGGAAUUCCUGGUGUAGAGGUGAAAUUCGUAGAUAUCAGGAGGAACACCAGCGGCGAAGGCGGCGCUCUGGGCCGGUACUGACGCUCAUGUGCGAAAGUGUGGGUAGCGAACAGGGUUAGAUA